UUUCAUAGCUAGGGGGGCCAUCAGGCUGAGAGUCCGAACGAUCGGACGACCCUCACAACCUGACCUGGGUAAUACCAGCGUAGGGAAGCGGACAUGUCGCCGG
rfam:Nitrospira sp. ST-bin5 829, whole genome shotgun sequence.